rnacentral:rRNA from 1 species
CUAAUACAUGCAAGUCGAGCGCAGGAAGCAGACUGAUCUCCUUCGGGAGUGAUGUUUGUGGAAUGAGCGGCGGACGGGUGAGUAACACGUGGGCAACCUGCCUGUAAGACCGGGAUAACUCGCGGAAACGUGAGCUAAUACCGGAUAAAGCUCCAUGCCGCAUGGCGUGGGGAUGAAAGACGGCUUUGCUGUCACUUACAGAUGGGCCCGCGGCGCAUUAGCUAGUUGGUGGGGUAACGGCCUACCAAGGCGACGACGCGUAGCCGACCUGAGAGGGUGACCGGCCACACUGGGACUGAGACACGGCCCAGACUCCUACGGGAGGCAGCAGUAGGGAAUCUUCCGCAAUGGACGCGAGUCUGACGGAGCAACGCCGCGUGAGCGAUGAAGGUCUUCGGAUCGUAAAGCUCUGUUGUCAGGGAAGAACACGUGUGAGAGUAACUGCUCACACCUUGACGGUACCUGACCAGAAAGCCACGGCUAACUACGUGCCAGCAGCCGCGGUAAUACGUAGGUGGCAAGCGUUGUCCGGAAUUAUUGGGCGUAAAGGGCUCGCAGGCGGUCCCUUAAGUCUGAUGUGAAAUCUUGCGGCUUAACCGCAAGCGGUCAUUGGAAACUGGGGGACUUGAGUACAGAAGAGGAGAGUGGAAUUCCACGUGUAGCGGUGAAAUGCGUAGAGAUGUGGAGGAACACCAGUGGCGAAGGCGG